rnacentral:lncRNA from 1 species
AAAACCCAAAAUCACGUUGCAACUAUCUUUUCUUUUCUUUCUGCCUUAUCAUGCAAUAAUAUUACAGUGAAGUGAAUGAAAGCUAUUGUUUUCAUAUGAUAUAAUAAAAAUAUCUAUAUAAAAAAAAAUGAAGAAACGUGUGGGAGUAGGGAAAGAGAUAUGGAUCAAAAUAGUUGAAACAGAAACUUGACCCAAAUCUUGCCAACUGCCCACAAUUUAAAAAAAUAAUUUAUAUCUUACACGUGGC